rfam:Callithrix jacchus chromosome 3, whole genome shotgun sequence
GACAUCAAGGACCUGCAGGACAAGAUUCUUGGUGCCAUCAUUGAGAGCUCCUGGACUGUCCUGCAGAUUGACAAU